rnacentral:ncRNA from 2 species
CACAAGACACGUUCUGAGAAUGCGGUCACUGUUUGCGAAUCAAACGGGAAGGCUGUGGCGCUGCGGGGAGUCCUGAGUCAGGAAACCUGCCGUCUUUGGAGUACAGGA